rnacentral:rRNA from 1 species
GAUGAACGCUGGCGUCGUGCUUAAUACAUGCAAGUCGAACGAGGAACUUUUGUCUUCGGAUGGGAGUUUCCUAGUGGCGAACGGGUGAGUAACGCGUUGGUGACCUGCCCCGAAGUGGGGGAUAACAGUUCGAAAGGACUGCUAAUACCUCAUGAUAUCAAUUGGACUAGAUACCUUUUGAUCAAAGGCGAAAGCCGCUUUGGGAGGGGCCUGCGUCCCAUCAGCUUGUUGGUAGGGUAAAAGCCUACCAAGGCGACGACGGGUAGGGGACCUGAGAGGGUGACCCCCCACACUGGCACUGAAACACGGGCCAGACACCUACGGGAGGCAG